GCAGGCACAGGCGAGGGGUUGGGUGGCGGUUGAGACAGCGGCGGUACUGGGAUGGGUAGGUGAGGAUCCCGAGACUGAGUGAGCUUCUGCGCGCGGUGCUUUUGGGAACGCGGGACUGGCAACCUGCGGCGCCAGGAGCUGGGCCGAGGCGCGGCGGCGCGGCUGCGGGCCGCCGUCUGGAUGGGAAGUUACGGCGAAGUCCACCCAGCGUUUCUCAGGUGAGGGCGCCGCGCCAGGCUGGACGGGCGGCUGGUGAUGGGCAAGCCAGGUGUGCCAGGUCCAGGAUGCACAUGAGGAGCGUUUGUAGCCAUCACUGAAUCACCUCCUGACUAGCGGGGCAAGCCUCAAAUGAACCGCAGGAUUUCGGAUCUCACUCCAUUGCCCAGGCUGGAGUGCAGUGGCACAAUCACAGCUCACUGCAACCUUGACCUCACAAGGCUCAGAUGAUCCCCCUGCCUCAGCCCCCAAGUAGCUGGGACCUACAG
rnacentral:lncRNA from 10 species